AUGGCGUCGACCUCGAGCUUGGAUUUGGGAAAGAUUGUGCCGCCGGCCGGCUUCCUCCACUGCCGCGCCGCCGUCCUCAGCGCCCCUGUUCUCUGGGGGAGGAGCGCGAGCGGGCGGUGCAGCCUCGCCGUCUCGGUGUCGUCCUCCAAUGGUGCAGCUGGGCUCUCCCCACUGAGUGACUCGGAGAAGAAAGGCCCUGUGGUGAUGGAGAUCCCGCUGGAAGAUAUCCGGAGGCCGCUAAUGCGAACGCGUGCUAAUGAUUCUGAUAAGGUGCAGGAGCUCAUGGACAGCAUCCGUGUCAUCAGCCUCCAAGUACCUGUGGGCUUCCUUUCCUUUAACAUUAAUUUUUCCAAAAUUAUUAUUUUUAGCUCAUAA
rnacentral:rRNA from 1 species